rnacentral:rRNA from 1 species
GUGGGGAAUAUUGGACAAUGGGGGCAACCCUGAUCCAGCAAUGCCGCGUGUGUGAAGAAGGCCUUCGGGUUGUAAAGCACUUUUAUCGGGAACGAAACGUGUCAGGUGAAUACCCUGGCAAACUGACGGUACCCGAGGAAUAAGCACCGGCUAACUUCGUGCCAGCAGCCGCGGUAAUACGAAGGGUGCAAGCGUUACUCGGAAUUACUGGGCGUAAAGGGUGCGUAGGUGGUUUUUUAAGUCCGUUGUGAAAUCCCUGGGCUCAACCUGGGAAUGGCAGUGGAUACUGGAAAGCUAGAGUGCGGUAGAGGGUAGUGGAAUUCCCGGUGUAGCAGUGAAAUGCGUAGAGAUCGGGAGGAACACCAGUGGCGAAGGCGGCUACCUGGACCAGCACUGACACUGAAGCACGAAAGCGUGGGGAGCAAACAGGAUUAGAUACCCUUGUAGUCC